AGAAAUCAAGUCAAGUGUUAACUUAAGUCAUCUGUCUUAGCUGUCGGUUGCAAAACGGCCUCAAGAUAUUCAACUGGACAAUUGAAUUGCGAUGGCGAUGCGAAACGCCCUCCAAACAUACCGAUAAUGGACAGUACAACGGAUCCAAGGAAUAUACGCCCAGAGUUACAGAUACAUUUUCAGAUACAGAUACGUUUGGCAGCUGCUGCAGCUGGCUGUCUGUCAAGUGCACUCUGCACUUUGAGCUGCGGUCCUGGGUCGCUGGUUUUUGGUUUUGGAUUUGAAUUCGGCUUUCGGUUUGGGCACUGGGAUCUGUCAAUGGUUUGGCCGGGUCCGGCUGACAUGCCCGCAAGAUUAGUGGCGGUAAUUUGAAUUGCCUGGCCCUGCCCAGAAAUGCACUCAGAGAAAUGUCUGAAGAAAGUUUGAAGCGUUUUACCAUGACUUAAAGUUGUAUGAUAUGUACCUAAACCAAAACAAAUGUAUGACAAAUAUGACAUGAAGCAAAUAUAAUCAAAAUAGUUGAUAUAGAAUAAAA